AGUGAACGCUGGCGGUAGGCCUAACACAUGCAAGUCGAACGGCAGCACAGUAAGAGCUUGCUCUUACGGGUGGCGAGUGGCGGACGGGUGAGGAAUACAUCGGAAUCUACUUUUUCGUGGGGGAUAACGUAGGGAAACUUACGCUAAUACCGCAUACGACCUACGGGUGAAAGCAGGGGAUCUUCGGACCUUGCGCGAUUGAAUGAGCCGAUGUCGGAUUAGCUAGUUGGCGGGGUAAAGGCCCACCAAGGCGACGAUCCGUAGCUGGUCUGAGAGGAUGAUCAGACACACUGGAACUGAGACACGGUCCAGACUCCUACGGGAGGCAGCAGUGUGGAAUAUUGGACAAUGGGCGCAAGCCUGAUCCAGCCAUACCGCGUGGGUGAAGAAGGCCUUCGGGUUGUAAAGCCCUUUUGUUGGGAAAGAAAAGCAGCAGGUUAAUACCCCGCUGUUCUGACGGUACCCAAAGAAUAAGCACCGGCUAACUUCGUG
rnacentral:rRNA from 1 species